UGGAGCAUGUGGUUUAAUUGGAAGCAACGCGAAGAACCUUACCAGGUCUUGACAUCUAGUGCAAUCUGUAGAGAUACGGAGUUCCCUUCGGGGACGCUAAGACAGGUGGUGCAUGCCUGUCGUCAGCUCGUGUCGUGAGAUGUUGGGUUAACUCCCCCACCGAGCGCAACCCUUGUUAUUAGUUGCCAGCAUUAAGUUGGGCACUCUAAUGAGACUGCCGGUGACAAACCGGAGGAAGGUGGGGAUGACGUCAAGUCAUCAUGCCCCUUAUGACCUGGGCUACACACGUGCUACAAUGGGCAGUACAACGAGAAGCAAGCCUGCGAAGGCAAGCGAAUCUCUGAAAGCUGUUCUCAGUUCGGACUGCAGUCUGCAACUCGACUGCACGAAGCUGGAAUCGCUAGUAAUCGCGGAUCAGCACGCCGCGGCGAAUACGUUCCCGGGCCUUGUACACACCGCCCGUCACACCAUGGGAGUCUGCAAUGCCCAAAGCCGGUGGCCUAACCAAAGGGAAGGAGCCGUCUAAGGCAGGGCAGAU
rnacentral:rRNA from 1 species